rnacentral:lncRNA from 1 species
UCCAUUCUUUUGAAAAAUGAUAAAGCUAUUAUUAUGAUAAAGGAGAAACUAGUUUUAAAAUGUAUGAUAAUUUUUAAAGAAAAAGAAUCAAAGUACAGUAAUUUUAAACUUAAAUCAUUCACCAGAACAAAAGUAUCUAAAUGAUUAGAGCCAAGUAUAUGAUAAAUUCACACUCCACAAAUUUAAACCUAGCUAGAUUCUUAAUUUACCAGCUUCAUAAAAGCUUGGCAACUCUUACUAACCCAGAUAAGCCUGUUCCAGAGCCUAACAGCUUCAAUAAUUACACGUGUUAAAUUCGUAUAAGCUCAGUAACAACAGCAUCAAUCAACCAAAUAUGUUUAUUACAAGACUAACACCAAUAUUCCAUUACAAAUCCAGAGGUUGCUUCCCCCUAGGCUUGUAUAGAAUUUUUUUUACCUUCUAUACAAGGCAACCUUUUAGACUUGCAUCAAGAUUCCAUGCACAGCUGCAAGUAUUAGUCAAUCUCUCAAGUGUUUAAUUAUAAUUGGUCAAACAUCCAUUAGCAAAAGUUUCAUUAGUCCUAAUGCAACAAUUACUAAGAUACAUGAUUUACAGGACAUUGCCAAAUAACAAGUGCCAAUUAGCCACACAUAACCUGGCAGAAGACAUCAACAUACAGAGGAAGAUUGAUCAGAUAUGUUCAACAAACAAAUCAACCUUUUUCUUUUUCUUUUUACCUGAUUCUACCAGAAACCAAGGUUAGGACACAAAAACUGCAAAUCUAAAAGAAAUCUCUAGUAAUUGCUGUCAGAUGAUACAUUAUAACCUCUGGAUUGUAAUAAUAUUGCAAUUUUGUGCUGUUAAAGCCUCUCAUUAGUCAAGCAACAAACUUUAGACAACGCGUAUCAUUGUGUAUAUUUUGGCAGCGGG